rnacentral:rRNA from 1 species
GACGGAGAGUGCAAGCGUUGUUCGGAAUUAUUGGGCGUAAAGGGCGUGUGGGCGGCUUGUUAAGUCAUAUGUGAAAUCCCUCGGCUCAACCGAGGAAAAGCGCAUGAAACUGGCAUGCUAAAGUACCGAAAAAAAAAAUGGAAUUCCCAAUGUAGCGGUGAAAUGCGUAGAUAUCGGGAGGAACACCGGUGGCGAAGGCGGCCCCCUGGUCGGAUACUGACGCUGAUACGCGAAAGCGUGGGGAGCAAACAGG